AAAGGCUUAGGAUCAAACCAGACCAAAGGCCUUCAAAGCCUUAAGCAGGCGUUAAACCGCCUAGCCUUUG
rnacentral:tRNA from 1 species